rnacentral:lncRNA from 1 species
UCCGCUACAAAAAGUUUUAACAGAAAAUCAAUGCCAACUCACUCAAAAUGAGUAUAUUAAAUAUAAAGGUAUCUUCUAGCAAGUGAUAUUUUAGCAGCUAAUUCAGAUUAUAAUACUUAAUUUGACUAUGCUAGUUCUCUCAAAAGGACAUGUGGCACCAACAGUAGACCCCAGUUAAACCAAGAAACUACAUCACCAUACGAGAAAUUAUACCAUACCAACUUAAUAAUUCUACUUUAUUUUAUUUAUUUAUUUUGAGAAAAGGAAACGCAGGGAGAUAAGCCAAUGUUCAAGAUGCUUCACAAAUGGAGUCUCAACAGUGAAAAAGGCCGGAAAACUCAUAUUCAAUCUGAACAGAUUUUCAAUCAAGAAUAUUGGAGUCAAAAUAAAGAAGAAAACGAAAUAAAGCUAAAGGAACCCAACCGAAAAUAGGUUCAUCACAUAACAUCAAAAUAGAAUAUGAAUGAGGGAAGAGAUAUUACCUUUUUCCGGCAGCAAACGGGGGACAAUGACAAGCAGAAAGGUAGCUUUCCACGACCACAACGAGAUUCCGACUCGGGCAACGAUCGAGAAAUCCGAGUAGAAUAUUGGACUUAACCCCGAAACUAGUUCUCCUCUGGUUCCUGGGUAUAUAUUUAGUAUGUAUUUAACUAUUUUUUGCUUAAGUAUUUCAAGGUAUUUUUUUGCUCAAAAAAAAAUCCCACCCCUACAAUGGAGAAGAAGAGACAUAUAUAUAGGGGGGAAAUCUAGGGUCCAAUUGGGAGGGAAAAGGGUAGAAUCGGGAUUUGAAUUCGACCCUCCAUUUGAAUUUUCUUCCCCAAAGGAUGGGGAAAAGUUGUUGCUUGUACCAUAUUUCAACCGAAAUCCCCUAAAAAUCGGAUGGAGAGAAAGCUGUGGGAGCAGCUGUGGCAGAGGAGGAAGACGCAAAAGCUGUUGCGUGUGCUGCUGCUGUGAGAAGUGUUGCUACUGUACACAACUGCUGCUGCUUUUGACGUUUCUGGUCUUGCUGAAGAAGAAGGAGAACACAGGUGGGGUUGUUCGGCUACUGUAUGUAUUGUAUGUAUUAUUAUAUUGUUGGGAAUGGGCUAGUAGUUUGGUUGGGCUGCUGUAGUUGUAUGGGAUUGUUGUAUGUAGGCAUUGUAUGUUAGGAAUUGUUUGACUAAAAUGGGCCUGAAAUGAGAAAGGCACGGGCUGCUGGAAAUUAAAGAAAUGGGGCCCAAAACUAAAGUCUUUGGUGGGUUUAAAGUAAGGUAUAACUAAGUGAAUUAACAACUUAGCCAAAUCGAAUUUAAUUUGCAAAUUCGGCUAAAACUCAAAUAGGACGAAUUAGUAUAAUUAAUUAAUGAGCUUCUUAAUUUUAACGAAAAAUAAAAUAAUUAACUCAAUUAUAACCUAACUAAUUUAAAUAACUCGAAAUUAUAACUAUAAUUUACGCUAAACUAAUUUAAUAAAAUACUUACUAAAAGUUUAAAAUCUUUUUGAGAUGAUUUUCGAAAUGUUUAUAAAAUAUACUAAUUAUAUAUAAAACAUAUAUAUUACAUAAAAAAUUAUAAAAAUGAUAAAAUUGAUUAAAAAAUAACUUGAAAAAACAUUUUGAACUUUACAAAGUCAAUUGUCUCAAAUCGUUUGGAAUUUAAGAAACUUGAUGAUUAAUAUAUAUUGUGGAGGUCCAAAAUUGGGUGUCAACCUAUUAAAAAAAAAUAUACCAAACAAGCUGAUAAUAUUAAUAUACAAAAUUAAUACAUACACUAUUUUUUCUGAUAUACUUUACCAAACUACUCCUAAAUCAAGUUUCGAGGAUGACUUUAUAGCAAAUAAACCCAACCUCUUCAUACUAACAAAUGAUUUAAUUGAGUGGAAAACAUAUUUAUUGACAAUAGACACACAUCAAUUUAUGAUAUACUAGUCUAUAGUUGAUCAUCGUUGAUAAAGUGAUUGAAAAUUUGAAACAAUGAAGAAAUUAAUUUUAAAAAAUAAUGACUAAGAGUUAGAAAUAACAAUGAUUAUAUUUAAACAGUGAAAAAGGCCGGAAAACUCAUAUUCAAUCUGAACAGAUUUUCAAUCAAGAAUAUUGGAGUCAAAAUAAAGAAGAAAACGAAAUAAAGCUAAAGGAACCCAACCGAAAAUAGGUUCAUCACAUAACAUCAAAAUAGAAUAUGUAAAAAAAAGAAAUUAAAUAUUGAUAUAUAUAUUAACAUGAUGAAAAUAUAAUUAAAAAUAUCAAGCAAAAUAAAUUUUGAAAAUCAUUGAAUCAAAUAUUUAAGUGUAAUUGUGUCUUUAAUCAUAGUAACGCAUGCAUCAAGUUUUCAUGUAUUAGUAAUACACAAUAAAAUAUAGUUAUACAUAGAUUCACAAAAAUAUACCAAACAAGCUGAUAAUAUUAAUAUACAAAAUUAAUACAUACACUAUUUUUUCUGAUAUACUUUACCAAACUACUCCUAAAUCAAGUUUCGAGGAUGACUUUAUAGCAAAUAAACCCAACCUCUUCAUACUAACAAAUGAUUUAAUUGAGUGGAAAACAUAUUUAUUGACAAUAGACACACAUCAAAUUUAUGUUAUACUAGUCUAUAGUUGAUCAUCGUUGAUAAAGUGAUUGAAAAUUUAAAACAAUGAAGAAAUUAAUUUUAAAAAAUAAUGACUAAGAGUUAGAAAUAACAAUGAUUAUAUUUAAACAGUGAAAAAGGCCGGAAAACUCAUAUUCAAUCUGAACAGAUUUUCAAUCAAGAAUAUUGGAGUCAAAAUAAAGAAGAAAACGAAAUAAAGCUAAAGGAACCCAACCGAAAAUAGGUUCAUCACAUAACAUCAAAAUAGAA